AAGCAUUUUGUUGACUAGUGGCAGUUUGGAUACUGUCCCAACUAUAAGCUUGAGCAGGAGUGAGAGCUAAUCAGCUUCUAAAUCUCCUUGGCUUUCCAAAGGAUGACCCUUUCUUUAAUGGACCUACGUACAACGAGAAUCUUGCUUCCCUCCAAGCUCCCUGCACAAGGCACUGAGCGAGUACUGAAGGUGAUAUUUUCUCCUGCUCAUAAAGACAACUACGGCUCACUGAACAGGAAAGAGCUGGGAUUUGCAGUGCAGAGAUUCAGAGCACAUUGGAGUGGGCCCUGGGAAGAACGUACACGGAUGAUGGCAAAUCCCAUCGAGUAAUCCCUGUCCCACCAUGAGACCCUCCCGCACGCGCUCCUUUUCCUGUAGUACCUCUGACCCUCGCUCAUACGCCCAGGCCUCCAACAGUUUCUCUCCCUGAUGGGUUUAUCCUUCCAGGUUUGCGCUGUCCAGAAGGUCUGUUUAGACAGAGUCCAGACAUAGUUAAGGGGAGAACUCGAAAUGGAUCAAAGCUGUCUAAAAAACAGACCUAGAAGGGUAGCUAGAAAUCAGAAGGGAAGAGGAGUAUGGUAAACUGGGGAUGAAGAACUCAAAAAUUUAAAACAAACUGAGACUGAAAGCAUGUUUUUCUUUCACAAAAUCAAAUUAAUUCUUAUAUGAAAGUUCCUCUGUACAUAAAAGAGCUGCAAGAGUGGAAAUGUAGAUUUGUGACGUGGCCACCUAGAGUAUGCUAAAAAAAUAAUAAUUCUGAAAAUUUUCUCUGGUCCGUCUGGCUCCCCUGGUUCUGCACACCCUGAUGAAGACGAAGGUCACACCAGUGCCACCUUCUGGACAGAAUAAAAAUAGCAGCAAAGCAGCCUGAUUUAAAGACCAACUGUAUUUUACUCUCCAAGCAAAAGCUAAGAUGUCAAAUAUAAUUUAAAUUUGAUUGUAACAUCUUAGUUUUAACACUAAG
rnacentral:lncRNA from 1 species